rnacentral:rRNA from 1 species
GUAAUGCCUGAAGUCCGUGGGCUAACCGCAAGGAGGCAGCGGCCGAGGGCAGGACUGGCGACUGGGACGAAGUCGUAACAAGGUAGCCGUACCGGAAGGUGCGGCUGGAUCACCUCCUUUCUAGGGA